UACAGAGGUCUCAACCGUUGUUCGGAUUCAUUGGGCGUAAAGGGUGCGUAGGCGGCGGGGUAAGUCAGGUGUGAAAUCUCGGGGCUCAACCCCGAAACUGCACUUGAUACUGCCUCGCUUGAGUACUGGAGAGGAGACUGGAAUUUACGGUGUAGCAGUGAAAUGCGUAGAGAUCAGGAAGAACAUCGGUGGCGAAGGCGCUCUGCUGGACCAUAACUGACACUCAGGGACGAAAGCUAGGGGAGCGAAUGGG
rnacentral:rRNA from 1 species